rnacentral:rRNA from 1 species
UACAGAGGGGGCGAGCGUUGUCCGGAAUUAUUGGGCGUAAAGCGUGCGCAGGCGGUUCGCUAAGACCGAUGUGAAAUCCCCGGGCUUAACCUGGGAACUGCAUUGGUGACUGGCGGGCUAGAGUAUGGCAGAGGGGGGUAGAAUUCCACGUGUAGCAGUGAAAUGCGUAGAGAUGUGGAGGAAUACCGAUGGCGAAGGCAGCCCCCUGGGCCAAUACUGACGCUCAUGCACGAAAGCGUGGGGAGCAAACAGG